UGGGGAAUAUUGGACAAUGGGCGGAAGCCUGAUCCAGCCAUGCCGCGUGUGUGAAGAAGGCCUUUUGGUUGUAAAGCACUUUAAGCGAGGAGGAGGCUACCUGGAUUAAUACUCUGGGAUAGUGGACGUUACUCGCAGAAUAAGCACCGGCUAACUCUGUGCCAGCAGCCGCGGUAAUACGGAGGGUGCGAGCGUUAAUCGGAAUUACUGGGCGUAAAGCGUGCGUAGGCGGUGCGUUAAGUUAGAUGUGAAAGCCCCGGGCUUAACCUGGGAACUGCAUUUAAAACUGGCGCGCUAGAGUUAGGUAGAGGGGAGUGGAAUUUCAGGUGUAGCGGUGAAAUGCGUAGAGAUCUGGAGGAAUACCGAUGGCGAAGGCAGCCAUCUGGCCUAAUACUGACGC
rnacentral:rRNA from 1 species